rnacentral:lncRNA from 1 species
AUUAUCUCAAGAGCUGCGGACUGGGGUGGCGACUGCACUCACAUGGCUUCUUGUUUCUUCUUGUUCCCUCCUGUAUUACUUUCUCUGGCUCUCCUGGGACCCUCCUGAGCCUUUGGCCCUAGCAUAACACCAAGACAGCACAAGAGCGGACGCUGCUGGGGGACUAACGGGAGGGGUCGAGUAUUGAAUAAAGCUUAGCAGCGAACUCAUGAGACAGCUGCUGGGAUCCCUGGAUAACUAGCUUUAUGUAUUUGGGUCAAAGUUCUUGAUUUUCUUAUAAAGAAAUAAAGAAACAGCUAAUAAAUAA